rnacentral:rRNA from 1 species
GAGAAGAGACGAAAUGAAAGUGAAUGAUCAUGGAGAAAAAACAGAUGAAACCAUUCUGGAAGACUAAAGGUUGAAAGAAGGGAGUAAAAGUUUAUCUGCUGAGACCCGAAAGAUGGUGAACUAUGACUGAAGAGGGUGAAGCCAGGGGAAACUCUGGUGGAGGCUCGAAGGGAUUCUGACGUGCAAAUCGAUCUUCAAAUUUGGUUAUAGGGGCGAAAGACUAAUCGAACCAUCUGGUAGCUGGUUCCCUCCGAAGUUUCCCUCAGGAUAGCAGGAGCUGGAAGAAAAACGAGUUAGAUCAGGUAAAGCGAAUGAUUAGAGGUAUGGGGAAAGAAACUUUCUUCGCCUAUUCUCAAACUUUAAAUGGGUCUGCGAGAAAGAUACUUGAUUUACUUGAGUGAAAUUGGGUAUGGAGAAAUCAUCAGCUCUAAGUGGGCUCGUUCUGGUAAGCAGGACUGGCGAUGCGGGAUGAACCGAACGUACAAGAUAAAGUGCCGAAAUCUAUGCUAAUAAGAAACCAUAAAAGGUGUGGCUUGAUCUAGACAGAAGGACGGUGGCCAUGGAAGUCGGAAUCCGCUAAGAAGUGUGUAACAACUUACCUUUCGAAUUAAGUUGCCCUGAAAAUGGAUGGCGCUCAAGCAUAGGCAGACAGGAAUACUUAGACUUGGCUGUUUGAUUUAGAUAUUGAAGAGAAUCAAACAUGUAGGAGGAGUGCGUGAAAAGAAAGUGGCAAAGAUACUAUAGAGAUAUAGAUUGGAACUCUUUUUAGUGCAGAUCUUGGCGGUAGUAGCAAAUAUUCAAGUGGAAACCUUGAAGACUGAAGAAGAGCAAGGUUCCGUGUGAACAGUGAUUGGACACGGGUGAGUCGAUCCUAAAUGAUAAUUUAAUUAUGUGGAAAAGACUGGGGAUCAAAACUCAGUAGCGUAUCAUGAAAGGGAAAAAGGUUAAGAUUCCUUUACCAUUUUUAUAACUGGAGCAAGUGGCGACAAAGAAUGGAACUUUAAGACGUUAACGAAUAUUUUAGAAAGAGUUAUCUUUUCUUUUUAACUAAUUUUUUAUGAAAGUAAAACUGGGCGGACAGCUGCGCAAGCAGGACUGGAGGGUCAGAAGAGUUGAACGGAAAAAAGUUAAUUUGAGAAGUUCAACAAAAUUAGGAAGAGUAUGAUCAAAGGCGGAACGCAAGGGAAGUCUUGGUAAUGAUUGUAUCUAGAGUAUAUUCGAUAACCCGUGAAAAUUAAAGGGAAGGGAGCGAUAUUAAGUUAUGAGAGUUAUAAAUGGUCGUACUGAUAACCGCAUCAGGUCUCUAAGGUGAAAAGCCUCUAGUCGAGUGAAAUAAUGCAAGUAAGGAAAGUCGGCAAAUUAGAUCCGUAACUUCGGGAAAUGGAUUGGCUCAUAAGGAAAGAUCUUGGGGAGCUGGAGGGCAACUGAAGGCUGUUCA